UACGUAGGGACCGAGCGUUGUCCGGAAUCAUUGGGCGUAAAGAGCGUGUAGGCGGCCUUUUAAGUCCUGCGUGAAAUCCUGCGGCUCAACCGCAGACGGUCGUGGGAAACUGGAAGGCUCGAGUGCGGGAGAGGAGAGUGGAAUUCCCGGUGUAGCGGUGAAAUGCGCAGAUAUCGGGAAGAACACCCGUGGCGAAGGCGGCUCUCUGGAACGCAACUGACGCUGAGACGCGAAAGCGUGGGGAGCAAACAGG
rnacentral:rRNA from 1 species